AGAUGGCAGUCCAAAAGGCAAGAACAAAUCUCCAUUUUUAACACUUUUCCUUCCCAUCCUACCCCUCUCUCCCUCAACUUAUACAUAAUCUUAAACCACUAUAGUCCUAUUAACAAGGCCAUCGACACCUACAAUUGAAUACGACAUUCAAUGCUUCACCACGUUGGCAACUGAAUACGAGAUUGAAGUGGGCAAGGAAGGGUCUCACCUUCAAUUCAUCCUCUCAAUUCCCCGUCUGUUACCAUCACCCCCUGUUAAGAAGUGGGCAAUGGAAGAUCAGGCACACACGUUUGCUAGCAUAUAACAACAUCUGGAUCAUACAACAUCUUCGUGAGUGGUGGAUGAUGACGAAAGAGAUGGUUUCUUAUCAGUAGCUGAUUUCCUUUAAUUUGAAGAACCACAUCAACGAUUAGGGUUCCCUUGAUUCUAGCCAGCUAAUAAAGCAAGACAGAGGUUAUUGAGGUUAUCCGAAACAGCAGAGAAGCUUAAAAUUCGAGCAGCCGUCAGUGUUCAAGCCGGGAAAGAAAACGAGGCUCGAGAUCUGUUAUUUCAAAAGAAGAAGGUUAUGCAAGAUUUAGAUAAUACAAAGAGUCGAAUCGAGUUGCUUGAAGAGCUUGCAGCAAAGCUUAUUGAGGCAAUAUCUCUUAAAGAAAGACAAUUUGUUACCACAGUUUCUUCAGAUCUUGAAAUCGAAAAACAAGAUGAUGAAUCUCCGGUUAGGGUUAUGUCUCCAUCUCCUGAAAAUUCAGAAAAAGAUUUUCUGAAUAUGAAUGAUAAUCGGGAACCGCAAGAAAGAACCAAUGAGUUGUCCACAGAACACGAAACAGACGAUCUUGAAGGAUUUUUGGAAGGCCAUGGCGUUGACAACAACGAUGAGUAGUUUGACCGGCUUGACGUCUUUUGUUGACCUUUUAGACCGUGUUGAUGAACAGUUAAACAAAGUUGAAACUGAGGUCUUCACGGUUAUUAAGUGAAGACAGACUGACAAAUCCCAAGGUGCAACAAUUGAUGGAAAUUCUUGAUGCUGUUCAGCGCAUUAGAAAAAGGUUGGCGGAUUACAAGGUUGACGAGUUGUGGAUUGGCGGUUGAAAUGUGCAACCCGAACUCAACCCAUAUUAUUAUUCAUGCUUCAAGAAAAUCUUACAGAUGUGGAUAUCAAAGUAAAAGCAAUGAUAAAACUCAUCGAAGAAGACGCCGAUUCAUUCGCUAGACGCGCAGAAAUGUAUUACAAAAAACGACCCGACCUUAUGAAACUGGUCGAAGAGUUAUACAGAGCAUAUCGCGCCUUAGCUGAAAGAUACGAUCACGCAACCGGGCCCCCCGCCAGGCCCACAAAACAAUGACCGAAGCAUUCCCAAAUCAAGUUCCUGCAGGAUGCGACGACUCAACGACUAAUUCUCCGUACGUUACUGAUCUUCAGACCCCAGAUUGGAGAACCACCCGAAACCCGUAUUUUGACCCGAAUGAGUUACAGAAAUACUUAAUCCACAAGACCAUAAAACCAUCUAAUCUUUCUGUUGUCUUAGAAUAUGCAAAGAGAUAUAACUUUUUUGUUGA